UUGCCCAAAGAGUUUGUGGAUGCCCAGUCCCUGGAAAUGUUCAAGGCCAGGUUGGAUUGGGCUAUGACCAAUCUGGUCUACUGGAAGAUGUCCCCCUGCACAUGGCAGGGUGCUUGGAAUGAGAUGAUUUUGAGGCCCCUUAAUACCCAAACCACUCUAUGAUUCUAUGUUUCUAUACUGUAAUGACCCUGUAGUACCUUCCCAACAGGUCCCUUUGUUGUUGAAGUCCUCCAUCUUCACCCUGUUCUGUGCUUUGAAGAACUAACUAGCAGCAGGACCCAAAGCUCUAGAGUCCUGCAUUGCCAUGUCCUACAGAUUUUCCAGGUGCCUGAGGAGGUCCAAGACCUGAUUGAAGCUUUUCUAAUUGUUUGGAGGGUUUGUAUUAGCUCUCACAACAGGUAAGAAUAGGGGUGGUUUAGUAUUUGUUAGUGGUGUGCACAGCAUCUCUUUUCUGCCUGGAUGUGUAUUUUGUGGCUUUCCUUUGUUUCAAAUUGUAGGAAUGUCAUACUUUUGAGAUCUUAAUUCCUCUGGUAAUUUUCAUGUAAACUAGUUAGUGGGUUAAAUAAUUUUCAUCCGUGCUGCUUUAAUAGCGUAGGAAAAAGAAGUUCAGCAGCCUUUCUGCUCACCAUGGUGCUAUUUUUCUGAAUACCUCUAUUGAGAGCCACUUAUAUCUUCCCAGAAAUCUAGGCCUUUUGCCAUGCUUUAGGCCACCUAUUAAUUGAAAAUCCUCCUUCAUUAGUUAGUAUUUUCAUCACCAGUGAUUGCAGACCUUCACAGAGAGAAUUCCUUCUCUGGCAGACAGUCUCAGCUCCACUGUUUCCCUCUCCUGACUCCAGUGAAGAAGACCAGGGGUCUGUGGUCACACCGGGAUACCUUUGCAAUGCUUAAAGAUUAGAUUCUGCUCUUUGGAAGGCACAACCACCAGUGCAGAAUUUUGGGUGACUCUCUCUGUAUUCUGCAGUCUUGCACAGAUCUUGCGCUAGGUUGGGUUUAAUCAAUCACUGGAAGUGCCUGGCUCAUUCUGCUGGCUACUGAUGCGAUGUAGAAUUUGAACCUGCUUAAGAACUGAGAGAGGACCCACUGAAGUCACUACAAAUCACCCCUCUAACUUUGGUGGACUUUGUUUCAGCAUCUGUUUAAUCUUUUCUACUAGCUCAAAGUUGUACACUCUGGUUGUGGCCACAGGCAAUGGAAGGUACUAUUUUUAACAUUCAUUUUUUGUGUUGUGGUAAUAUGUGAAUUCUAAUGGGCAGCCAAAACCCAGUGUGCCAGACAGUCCUGUGCAAACAAAAUGUCAUCACUGUUAGAUUAAAACCAGUAUAAAAAAAUCAACACCUGGAUGCUAUGCACAGAGGUACAGAGCACAGGAGAACCUUUUAAUAUAAUUUUCAGUCAUGUGGGUUACUCAUCUAAGUUAAUGCGUGGGAAGAUGAAGCAUGUGAAGUGAUGAUACAGAUGAGGAUACAGAAUUGUUCCUAAAAGCUCAGCAAUGGUCUGAGUUCGUGAGCCAGCAUAUUACACCUGUGCACAGAGACAGCAGACAUGGAUAAGUUUAUAAAAACAUGAUUUAGUUCUUUUGAAUUAGGCUGAUAUGUUAGAUUUUAUAAUGAAGAUGUUGUUUCUAUAAAAGCUUGAGGAGUGAUAGAUUGGAUAAAGCUUUAAUGUUAAUAUAUAGAUUUUAAGGUUGACAGCUAAGAAAUUGCACAUUUUUCACCUUAUGUAAAUACAUUAAGUAUCUUUCUGUGUUUGAUUUAAAAGCCUUAUAUUUCAGGAAAAUUCAUUCCAGUCAUCAAAACUAUGGAAGUUUAUAUAGCAUUAGAACAAUGAAUAUUUUUGUUAUAUUGUAAUCACUAAUAACUAU